rnacentral:misc_RNA from 1 species
UCUCUCAACCAAUAGGGUUUCUUAUUGGCUUGGAUCUGGGUGUUGCCAGCUUGUCUGGCUCGCCUUAAAGGAGUUAGCGAGUAAAGCACUGUCGUCUGGCGUAAUAAGUUUCGCUGGUAGACUUUGUGUGAAGGUCGCUUAUAAUCGCCCUCGGGCAAUUUUUGA